CUGGCGGCCAUAGCGCCGUGGAACCACCUGAUCCCAUGCCGAACUCAGAAGUGAAACGCGGUAGCGCCGAUGGUAGUGUGGCAUUCGCCAUGCGAGAGUAGGACACUGCCAGGC
rnacentral:rRNA from 2 species